rnacentral:rRNA from 11 species
CUUCGAAAAAGUAACGAAGAUCUACAAAAGUAAAUUCGAAUUCUGUAGAAAUGAAUUUUUGAGUGUAAUGGCUAAAAUUUGCUUGACUGUGAGAUUUAUAAAUCAAACAGAGAUAAUAUUUGUCGGUCAUAGUGAGCCAAUUAUUUUGAAUGGAAAAAUAAUUGCAUAAGAAAUAAUAGGUACCUUAAGGACAACAGGC